rnacentral:rRNA from 1 species
AGUGAACGCUGGCGGUAGGCCUAACACAUGCAAGUCGAACGGCAGCACAGGAGAGCUUGCUCUCUGGGUGGCGAGUGGCGGACGGGUGAGGAAUACAUCGGAAUCUACUCUGUCGUGGGGGGUAACGUAGGGAAACUUACGCUAAUACCGCAUACGACCUACGGGUGAAAGCAGGGGACCUUCAGGCCUUGCGCGAUUGAAUGAGCCGAUGUCGGAUUAGCUAGUUGGCGGGGUAAAGGCCCACCAAGGCGACGAUCCGUAGCUGGUCUGAGAGGAGUAUCAGCCACAGUGGAACUGAGACACGGUCCAGUCUCCUACGGGAGGCAGCAGUGGGGAAUAUUGGACAAUGGGCGCUAGCCUGAUCCAGCCAUACCGCGUGGGUGAAGAAGGCCUUCGGGUUGUAAAGCCCUUUUGUUGGGAAAGAAAUCCAGCUGGCUAAUACCCGGUUGGGAUGACGGUACCCAAAGAAUAAGCACCGGCUAACUUCGUGCCAGCAGCCGCCGUAAUAC